GACAGAGGGUGCAAACGUUGUUCGGAAUUACUGGGCGUAAAGCGCGUGUAGGCGGCUCGGCAAGUCGGAUGUGAAAGCCCUGGGCUUAACCUAGGAAGUGCAUUCGAAACUCCCGAGCUUGAGUUCUGGAGAGGAAGGCGGAAUUCUCGGUGUAGAGGUGAAAUUCGUAGAUAUCGAGGGGAACACCGGUGGCGAAGGCGGCCUUCUGGACAGUGACUGACGCUGAGACGCGAAAGCGUGGGGAGCAAACAGG
rnacentral:rRNA from 1 species